rnacentral:rRNA from 1 species
UGAGUACGAGAUGCUAAGGCGUUGAAGCAGUCUAUGUCAUACUUCCAAGAAAAGCUCGCAAUGUCAUAAACAAAAAUGCCUGUACCAUAACCGACACAGGUGGGUAGGUAGAGUAUACUAAGGGGCGCGAGAUAACUCUCUCUAAGGAACUCGGCAAAAUGACUCCGUAACUUCGGGAGAAGGAGUGCCUUAUUUUUAUAAGGUUGCAAUAACAAGAUCCAAGCAACUGUUUACCAAAAACACAGGUCUCCGCUAAGUCGUAAGACGAUGUAUGGGGGCUGACGCCUGCCCAGUGCCAGAAGGUUAAAGAAGUUGGUUAGCUUCGGCGAAGCUGAUGACUGAAGCCCUGGUGAACGGCGGCCGUAACUAUAACGGUCCUAAGGUAGCGAAAUUCCUUGUCGGGUAAGUUCCGACCCGCACGAAAGGCGUAAUGAUUUGGAUACUGUCUCGGAGAGGGGCUCGGUGAAAUAGACUUGUCUGUGAAGAUGCGGACUACCUGCACCUGGACAGAAAGACCCUAUGAAGCUUUACUGUAACUUGAGAUUGAAAUUGGACUUUAUUUGCGCAGUAUAGGUGGGAGACGUUGAGAAUAUUCUUGCGGGAAUAUUGGAGUCAUCAGUGAGAUACCACUCUUGUAAUGUUAGAUUUCUAACUUUGUAUCAUUAUCUGGUCAAAGGACAGUUUCAGGCGGGCAGUUUGACUGGGGCGGUCGCCUCCCAAAUGGUAACGGAGGCGCACAAAGGUUUCCUCUGAACGUGUAGAAAUCGUAUCUAGAGUGUAAAGGCAUAAGGAAGCUUGACUGUGAGACCUACAAGUCGAGCAGGGACGAAAGUCGGUCUUAGUGAUCUGACGGUGCUGAGUGGAAAGGUCGUCACUCAACGGAUAAAAGUUACUCUAAGGAUAACAGGCUGAUCUCCCCCAAGAGUUCAUAUCGACGGGGAGGUUUGGCACCUCGAUGUCGGCUCAUCGCAUCCUGGGGCGGUAGUACGUCCCAAGGGUUGGGCUGUUCGCCCAUGAAAGCGGUACGCGAGCUGGGUUCAGAACGUCGUGAGACAGUUCGGUCCAUAUCCGGUGUAGGCGUUAGAAUAUUGAGAGGAGCCUUCUUUAGUACGAGAGGACCGAGAAGGACAUACCUCUGGUGUACCAGUUAUCGUGCCAACGGUAAACGCUGGGUAGCUAUGUAUGGAGUGGAUAACCGCUGAAAGCAUCUAAGUGGGAAGCCCACCUCAAGAUAAGUAUUCUCU